UACGAAGGGUGCAAGCGUUACUCGGAAUUACUGGGCGUAAAGCGUGCGUAGGUGGUUUGUUAAGUCUGAUGUGAAAGCCCUGGGCUCAACCUGGGAAUGGCAUUGGAUACUGGCGAACUUGAGUGCGUGAGGGGUAGGGGGAACGAGCAGUGUAGCGGUGAAAUGCGUAGAUAUUGCUCGGAAGGCCAGAGCCGAAGGGGCCCUACUGGUGCGCAACUGACACUGAGGCACGAAAGCGUGGGGAGCAAACAGG
rnacentral:rRNA from 1 species